UGUGUAAUCACCAUGUCCGUUCCAUCUUAUCUCACCUCCAAAUAGCUUACUCACUGGUAGAACCUCCAUAUACUUGUGUACUGGAAAUACAUUGCCCACUCUGGGUACAGCAUCAAAAGAAGUCCCUCUGAAGGAGCAAAUGCAAAGAGCAAAUUGGAAAUGUAUAUCAUUUAGCACAUGUUCUCUGGUGAAAGACUAUGUGUGACCAGACAUACAAUGAAAACCUACCCAUCCAGCAGCACACCAUCCACGGAGGUAUUGAAUAGCUGAGGCUUGAUAGAGUUACAUCACUUGUCCAAAGAGAUAAUGCCAGUGAAUGGAAUGGCCAGAUCUAAUUCCAGAAUCCGUAAAGCUCCACUGCUUCUCUCUGAAUAUAAUAACCCAUCCACAAGCCCUAAGAUAUUAGACACAUCAGUGAUCACUCCAUCUGCUUUUGGCCCAUUGCUCUUGUCAGGAUUUAUGCAUUUAUGUCUGCAAUAAUUAUUUAUUGAGGACCUUCUCUCUUGCAGUUGCAUAUGGCCUUAUAACUGAAUUCUGACUUUGUGUCUCUCUUGGGAUAGACAGAUAAAAAUUUUUCAUAUGUGAUAUUCUUUCUGUCUCCUACCUCUCAUCUAUGAGCCUGAAACAGCAGAUUCAGUAGAACAGUCACAGUUUCUCAGGAAUGCCAGAGCCACAAGUUGGGAGGAGCCCAGGUCUGUCCAAUAAUCUGGAACAUCCAUCCACCAGGAACAUUGUUGCACUUUAUGUGACUAAAAAACAUUUUUUAAGGAAAAAAGCACUAAAAUUUUGGGUUAUAUUUGUUGCAAUAGCUGUGUUACUUUCCUAAUGCACAAUCACAAAUGUAAAAUGCACACACACAGAGUGUGAGGAAAUAUAUUGCUAUUGGACUACUUGUAGUCCAUUUAAUUUUUUUAUAUAGCUAUAGCCAGAUCUGGGGUGAAAUGGUUUAGAAUAAUAAUUUCCAAUAGUAUACAUCAUACCUUUAAAAACACUUUAUGGAUGGAUAAGUAUCUAAUUAUGGAACUUGCCUGCAAUGUAAGUGAUGAGAGAAACUCUUUAUAUAUGCUUUAUUUUUUUUCUGAAUGCAUAGGUUCAGAAUUAUUAAACAAAC